GACGAACGCUGGCGGCGUGCUUAACACAUGCAAGUCGAACGGAAAGGCCCUGCUUUUGUGGGGUGCUCGAGUGGCGAACGGGUGAGUAACACGUGAGUAACCUGCCCUUGACUUUGGGAUAACUUCAGGAAACUGGGGCUAAUACCGGAUAGGAGCUCCUGCUGCAUGGUGGGGGUUGGAAAGUUUCGGCGGUUGGGGAUGGACUCGCGGCUUAUCAGCUUGUUGGUGGGGUAGUGGCUGACCAAGGCUUUGACGGGUAGCCGGCCUGAGAGGGUGACCGGCCACAUUGGGACUGAGAUACGGACCAGACUCCUACGGGAGGCAGCAGUGGGGAAUAUUGCACAAUGGGCGGAAGCCUGAUGCAGCAACGCCGCGUGCGGGAUGACGGCCUUCGGGUUGUAAACCGCUGUCGCCUGUGACGAAGCGUGAGUGACGGUAAUGGGUAAAGAAGCACCGGCUAACUACGUG
rnacentral:rRNA from 1 species